rnacentral:rRNA from 1 species
UACCAGCUCUCCGAGUGGUGUGGAUGUUUAUUGGGCCUAAAGCAUCCGUAGCUGGCUGGGCAAGUCCCCUGUUAAAUCCACCGAUUUAAUCGUUGGUGUGCGGGGGAUACUGUUCGGCUAGGGGACGGGAGAGGCCGACGGUAUUUUCGGGGGUAGGGGUGAAAUCCUAUAAUCCCGGGAAGACCACCAGUGGCGAAGGCUGUCGGCUAGAACGCGCCCGACGGUGAGGGAUGAAAGCUGGGGGAGCGAACCGGAUUAGAUACCCGGGUAGUCCCAGCUGUAAACGAUGCAGGCUAGGUGUUUGGGCGGCCACGUGCCGCUCUAGUGCCGCAGAGAAGUCGUUAAGCCUGCCGCCUGGGGAGUACGGCCGCAAGGCUGAAACUUAAAGGAAUUGGCGGGGAGCACGGCAACGGGAGGAGCGUGCGGUUU